ensembl:lncRNA
GAAAAGAUGACAAAAUCAUCUUUAGUAAGCCUGUGAGCUCUUCGUAUCAUCUGUAUUUUGUCAUUGAAGAGAGGCUGGUGUUCUACUUGGUUCUGCUUGGUCCCAGACAGCUCCAGCAAGAACAAUUCUUAAAACGGAGCUGAUCGAGUGUGUCACUGUGACAAGCCAUUUGCAUACUGUCCUGUUCCCUUACAGCCAGAUCAGUGGAUGAGGAGCUGCAGCCAGGUUGGCCCUUCAAUGAGUCACAGACCACCCAGGUUUAUUCUAAGCAGAUGGAAUCUGUUGGGCUUAGGAGGGUGAGGUGAGAGAACUGUGUUUGCUGGUGAGUCUGUGUAUACGACACCAUGAGCCCCCUCCCUCCUCUGGCCCAAACGUUUCCGUGAGCACGUGUGCCUAGGCCCCGGGAGACCCGCCUGCCACCCGGUUUCCACUGACUUGAGCUCUUCCUGUCUGCCCUCAGCACCAGCCCUUGCUGGCGUCACAGGCAGGCCGCUCUGCACUCUGUGCACACAGCUGCAGGGAUAGGAUAACUUUGUGCCCUAUUGGCCCCCUGAGCAGAUUGAGUCUAGCCACUCCCCUGCCCUCCGUGUGCAGGCACAGAAUCACAGCACCGUGAAAGACAACUGGAGUCUGGCCUCCCAGCCAUCCCCAGGGUCUGUGGCUGGGAGGCAGCUGGCUGGCUGAUAGUAGGUGCCCCAAACAACCAGGUGGUUGCAUGACAGAGUGGCUACAAUUGAGCUGACCCCCCAGGCAGAGUGAGGUAUCACUAAAAUGACAGUGACACUCUGCAUGUCCAGAUCCUCAGAGGCUGGGUUCAGCUCAGCAAGGAGAAUGCGAUGUUUGAUGGCUGAAGGCGAUGCUCGGAGCUCGAGCUGCCUUUUCCUUUUCCAGUUUUGCAGUCAUCGUGGCUUCCCUUCUGAGGAGGAGUUGGUUCUCAUCUUAGGCUUUUGCGGGGGUGCCCUGGGGAUGUUCUCAUCACUGCCAACUCUUGGAGCUGUUCUAGGUCUUGGCUUGGGGCCUUGAGGGUGGGCCUGUGUCAGAGGUGCUCAGCGAGCCGGGUGGAGGCAGUGGAGGUGGCAGGCAUUGUCCUCAGGGUUCUCCACAGAGAAGACCCUUCAGAAAGACCCAGGGAGAGGAGGCAACUGGCUGUCCAUGUCACACGCCACGUGUUGUGUUCUUUUCUAAAGAAAGAGACACAGCAAAGCUGUCUCUCCUUGCCUGUGCCCUGGAUUUUUUGUUGCACAUGGAUGUAGAAGGUGGAAUGUUUUCUACCCUUUCAUGUUCUCCUAACCCACGUGGAACCAUGGCUGUUGAUUAGAGAAACCGUUAGCUGCCCAUGACCCUGCUGCCAGCUCCGUUCCCUCUGCCUGUUGAGAGAGGCCCUCCUCGCCGAGGCCCAGGAGAUUUGGAGACUGGGGCCAGGCUGGGUCUGAAGGAAGAGGAGGGAAGCCCACCCCAGUUCCAGUUCACAGGAAGCUUUGGGGCAAGUGCAGCUCGUUUUGAGCCAUAUGUACCCAGAAAGCUCUUCCUUCACUUUGUAGUCAGAGCCCCUGGUACUGUAGCCCAUUCUCCUACACGGAGGAUGUCGACGAAGAUCUGCUCUCACUUCGUCUCUGGAAGGUCCCCCAGCAUUCGGACUGGAUGCUCCAGGAAAUGGAGGAAGGACAGCAGGGAGCCGCUAACGUUUGCCUUUGCUGUUCUGAGCAGCUGGUGCUGAGAGCCGCCUUCUUUCUGGGGCCAUGGUGUUCCUACUGUUUGUAGUGGCAUGUCACCAUUGUGCAGUGAGCUUGUGGGGUGGACAUGCAGAGGCUGUCUGCACGGCCCACAGCAGACGUGCCCAGUGGCGCUGUGCCGAGCCUGGUCUGUGCUCCCUUGGAUGAGGACACAGAAGCUCUUCAAGUUGACUUCCCUCUCCUUCUCCAUCAUCGCCCGCCUACCCCUAGCAGUGGUGCAAAAGAGGAGGACAGACUGGUUUUUUUGCACGCCUCUCACAAUUCCACCUUGCCCACAGCCCAGUUUCUAUCAGUCAGCAUCCAACCAGAAAAACAGAGGCCACUCUAAGCAUUUAAAACAGAGGGGUUUUAAUCCAGAGACUUGUUUAACACAGAAACAGAAGAACUGAGAGGUCAAACAGCGAGCAGGAGCCCUGCCAGAAACAAUCCCCUAGGCAGAGAAGAGAGAGAAAUUGCCUGGCUUCUCCCUUCCUUGUGCCCUCCAGAUUCCUGCAGGUGCCUCUUGUUAGCUAAACCCAGCUGGAAGCCAGCUGACCUGGGAGCUGGGGGCAGGCGGCCUGCCGUGGUCAGCUCUCCACCACUCAGAGCAGAGCAGGGGAAGACGAGGAGCGGUCUGAGGGCAAGCAGGCCCAGGACGUGUCUGACCUUGGUCUGCUCUGUGUCAUGUCCAGCCUGGUGUUUAUGCCCCUUGCUGUCCUAAGACCUGGUAGAGGUAGACAGAGGAGCUGCCCCCAUGGGGUCUGGUGGACUCCCUUUCACUCUGCCUAGAGAGGAAAGUGCUUUUGGGAGGGAGGGGGAAAGCCUUUAUUCUCAAGAGUUGUCCUUGUUUUCCUUUGGGGGAAUUUACUCAUUUAGCAGCCCCACCUCACCAUUCCCCUCAGGAAAGCCAUGUCCCAGUUUACUGUGCACCCUUCCCCAUUCCUCUCGCCCCAGUUUCUGGUUUUCCCUGCCAGAGAACACUAACCCAGACCAUGCAUCAGUGGUCAUGAGCCUUUCCCCAGGAUAAUUCAUUCAGAGCGUGAUAUUACAGUGUGGACUGUCUGUCUGUCAGUAGAUGCCAUCUACUAAUCAAUUUGUAUCGUGUUUCCAAUAAAUUUCUGGAAGUUA